rfam:Myotis davidii contig93194, whole genome shotgun sequence.
AGCGGAUCUUGGUGACGGACUUCAGAAUCGGUCUCCCUCCUCUCUGGUUCUGGGUGCGUCACCGAGAACUGCU